UACGAGAGGCCCAAACGUUAUUCGGAUUUACUGGGCUUAAAGAGUUCGUAGGCGGCGCAGCAAGUAGGGUGUGAAAGCCCUCGGCUCAACCGAGGAAUUGCGCUCUAAACUACUGUGCUUGAGGAACCUAGAGGUGAGCAGAACUGAUGGUGGAGCGGUGAAAUGCGUUGAUACCAUCAGGAAUACCGGAGGCGAAGGCGGCUCACUGGGGGUUUUCUGACGCUGAGGAACGAAAGCCAGGGGAGCGAACGGG
rnacentral:rRNA from 1 species